rnacentral:rRNA from 1 species
CCUUGCCAGCCCGCUCAGAAACUUAAAGGAAUUGACGGGGGCCCGCACAAGCGGUGGAGCAUGUGGUUUAAUUCGAUGAUACGCGAGGAACCUUACCUGGGCUCAAAUGUAUGUUGACGUAUUCUGAAAGGGAUACUUCUUCGGACAAUAUACAAGGUGCUGCAUGGUUGUCGUCAGCUCGUGCCGUGAGGUGUCGGGUUAAGUCCCAUAACGAGCGCAACCCCUACUGCUAGUUGCCAGCGGGUCAUGCCGGGGACUCUAGCGGAACUGCCAGCGUAAGCUGCGAGGAAGGUGGGGAUGACGUCAAAUCAGCACGGCCCUUACGUCCAGGGCUACACACGUACUACAAUGGCCGAUACAAAGGGCAGCGACACUGCGAGGUGAAGCCAAUCCCGUAAAAUCGGUCUCAGUCCGGAUUGGAGUCUGCAACUCGACUCCAUGAAGUUGGAAUCGCUAGUAAUCGUGGAUCAGCAUGCCACGGUGAAUACGUUCCCGGGCCUU